rnacentral:tRNA from 1 species
GCCCUCGUAGCUCAGUGGAUUAGAGCACUUGCUUGCGGAGUAAGGGGUCGCGUGUUCGAGUCACGCCGAGGGUGCUA